rnacentral:rRNA from 1 species
GAUGAACGCUGGCGGCGUGCUUAACACAUGCAAGUCGAACGAAGCACUUAAGAUUGAUUCUUCGGAUGACGUCUUUUGUGACUUAGUGGCGGACGGGUGAGUAACGCGUGGGUAACCUGCCUCACACAGGGGGAGAACAGAUAGAAAUGACUGCUAAUACCGCAUAACCCGAUAGGAUCGCAUGAUCCAGACGGAAAAGAUGUAUCGGUGUGAGAUGGACUCGUGUCUGAUUAGCUGGUUGGUGAGGUAACGGCACACCAAGGCGACGAACAGUAGCCGGGAGGGGAGGGGGAAACACUACGUCUGGGCUGCGACACGGCCUAAUAUCCUACGGGAGGGAGCAGUGGGGAAUAUUGCAGAAUGGAGGAAACCCUGGUGCCGCGACGCCGCGUGAGUGGAGAAGUAGUUCGGUAUGUAAAGCUCCAUCAGCAGGGAAGAGAAUGACGGUAACUGACUAAGAAGCACCGGCUAACUACGUG